UAUAAUUAGCCAGUAGAAAACCUGCGACUUGACGGCUUUUCUGCAAGCUCUCCUCAUUCUCCUGUUCGCUCUGCGAAGGAUUUCCAUUGCAAAUUUUCACCACGGUCAAAGCGUUCGAGAAAACGAGCGUCAUAUCGUUUAAAGGGAGAAACAACGACGGCACUGCGAAACGAAUUCGCCUCGUGUACUUUGAUAAGACGCGGCCUUUAUCGUCCGAUCGUCGAGAAGAGCCGCUGCUAUGGUGGCAGUCGUAAACGACAAAAGGGACGCGCGUUUAUAUUUAGACGCUUCUUAGGAGAGACGUUGCAAGACGCAACGUCUUGGAAUCGAUACACGGUAGUGCAAAGAAGCGAUAAACAAGCAACAAACAAUAAACAAUUAUAUCGAUCUGAUUUUCGUAGCUUUCGGAUACUCACCCGGACAGUACACCGAGAAUCAGAUUCAUCACGAAGAAAGCGCCGAGUAUGACCAUGGAGAUGAAAUAAAUCCACUGCCAC